UACGAAGGGGGCUAGCGUUGCUCGGAAUUACUGGGCGUAAAGGGCGCGUAGGCGGAUAUCUAAGUUGGGGGUGAAAUCCCGGGGCUCAACCUCGGAAUUGCCUUCAAAACUGGAUAUCUUGAGUUCGGGAGAGGUGAGUGGAACUCCGAGUGUAGAGGUGAAAUUCGUAGAUAUUCGGAAGAACACCAGUGGCGAAGGCGACUCACUGGCCCGAUACUGACGCUGAGGUGCGAAAGCGUGGGGAGCAAACAGGG
rnacentral:rRNA from 1 species